CUGAACCCAUGCCUCCACAACAACCUGAGCCACUGCAGUCAGAUUCUGUGCCACAGCAGGAACGCCUCAAAGGAUUUUUUUAAAAUUUAAUUCUGUUUUAUGGAAAUUGAAAAGAUGAUUAUCUGAGAAAUGAUUUCUGAAAUAUAAAUUCUGUUAUAAACAAGGGACGUGCUUGAAAUAGUCUUAGAAUAUGACAAUAGAAGAAGUCCCCAUCUCCUUGGCUGGACUAUAGUCAAAUACAGUACCUUGUCACUGUGUUUAGGAGUUUGAGUCAUAAUAUUAGAGGUAGGCCUAGUCUGGGGAAGUCACUUUAUGAAGUUGGGAAAGAGAAAGGAUCUAUGUGGCUGAUAUAUAGGAAAUCAUGUGAAAAAAGAUUAAUUUCCUUUUCCUCCCAAAGUUAUCAAUAGUUAGAAGACAGGUUAAAAUCUUUCAUUAGUUCACAUUUAUUGAUCAUAUAGCACUAUACAAGUCUGUGCCAAGAUCUUAACUCAUUUGAUCCUUACAACAAUGCUACAAGCUAGAUAGAACUAUUGUCACCAUUUUUCAGAUGAGAAAACUGAGUCACAACAUUAAGCAGGUAGUAAGUCAAGGUCUGGGAUUCAAAGCUUAGCAGUCUGUCUCUUAACCAUUGUGUGGUACUGCUUAGAUAAAUUUUAGCCAGACUUUGGCCAUGUAACAAUAGAGAAGCUAAUGGUUGAACUGCCACAGUGUACCAUAGAAUUGUCUGAGAAAACAGAAAGAACCCAUUUCAUUACAGAGAAUAUAAUCACAGGAGUGAAAGGAACGUGUGAGAUAACAUCAGUGUCUACAUUCAGCUCACUUGUCCCAAGGGAAGUCUGGCUACCAUGCUGUCAGCUACUUUAUUAAAAGGCCUGUGGGGGGAGUUCCCAUUGUGGGUCAGCAGAAAUGAACCUGACUAGUAUCCAUGAGGACACAGGUUCCAUCCCUGGCCUUCCUCAGUGGGUUACAGAUCCUGCAUUGCUUGGCUGUGGUGAGGCUAGCAGCUAUAAAUCCAAUUCAGCCCUAGCCUGGGAACUUCCAUAUGCCAUGAGUGCAGCCCUAAAAGGACCAAAAAAAAAAAAAAAGCCCAUGGGGCAAGGAACUAAAAUCUUCAGUCACCAGCCAGCAAGAACUAAAGGCCUGCCAACAGCCAGGAGUCUGACCUUGAAAGUGGAUCCCUUCCUCUUCCCACCUUGAGACGACUGCAGCUCCAGCUGACUCCUUAACUGCAACCUUGUGAAAGACCCAGAGCCAGAGACACUCAGCUAAGCUAUUCUUGAGUUCCCGACCCACAGAAACGGACAUUUUGGAACAUCUUUUCAGUGGAGAAAGACCCUCAGCAAGAGCAUCAGAAAGAGAAAUCAGGAGUUCCCGUCGUGGUGCAGUGGUUAACAAAUCCGACUAGGAACCAUGAGGUUGCGGGUUCGAUCCCUGGCCUUGCUCAGUGGGUUAAGGAUCCGGCAUUGCCCUGAGCUGUGGUGUAGGUUGCAGACGCGUCUCGGAUCCUGCAUUGCUGUGGCUCUGGCGUAGGCGGGGGGCUACAGCUCCGAUUAGACCCCUAACCUGGGAACCUCCAUAUGCCGCGGGAGCGGCCCAAAGCAAUAGCAAAAAGACAAAAAAAAAAAAAAAAAAAAAA
rnacentral:lncRNA from 1 species